rnacentral:tRNA from 1 species
GUGGGUGUAGCUCAACGGCAGAGCACCGGCCUGUGGCGCCGGACGUUGCGGGUUCGAUUCCCGUCAUCCACCCCA